rnacentral:lncRNA from 1 species
UCUGGUGAAAAUUUACAAGUUCAUGAUGAUGAAGCACUUGCUGAGGGGGAGCAUCAGAAUGUUUCAGACUCUACUCAAGACUCAUCAGAGAAUACUAACUCAAACUCAUCAGAGAAUGCUGAUUCAAACUCUGAUAGCACAAUUGCAGGGGGAGCUACAGAGAAUAAUCAGCAGAAUCAGGAGAGCAUGGAUCAAGGGGGAGGAUCCAAUGAUGAAAAUGGUCAACUUCCACAUGCUAGGAAGUGGACAAAAUCUCACACACCUGAUU